CAGGCUACAUCCCUACCAGUGCCCAGCGCGGUAGAAUUCAAUAUGGCGUCCGAGAUGAACAUUUUUGUAGUUACUGAUUUCAUAUAAAAGUAAAUUUUUCAUUGGUCGCAUAAAAAGUAAAUUGUUCAAAAAAUUUUCAAGUAUAGAGGGGAAUAUAUCAGAUAUGCCACUGAACGUUCUUCGUGAUUUGGUGCGAGGAGCAAGUCGUCGUGUAAUGACUGGAAAGAGAGGAAACAAGAAUUUCUACAAAGGUAUCAGUGUAUCACGGGCUAUUUAAUGUAAACUAUUUAAUGUAAACUAGCAGAGAUUAAUACAUUUUAUCAUUGUAAACGUAAAUUUAUACUUUAGACUCAAAUUUUUUAACUCUUCAACAUUUACAAUAAUGAGACAUGAGUUAGGGGCGACGUCCAUAUUCAAGUUGCCACGCAAAACGUCAAAUUGACGUUUUGAGUGGGUGGGUGGGUUAGAACUGUAGUGGUGUGACGUUUUUACCGUGGCAAUAUGAAUAUUUUGCAAAACUACAACGCUAUAUGUAGAAUAUAUAUUAAAAAUAACCGUCAAUAUUUAUUAAAAUAGUAUCAAUACGCGAUGGAAAAGUUAAUAUAUUUACACUAUUCAGUAUCAAUAUUGCAUAUUAAAAAACAACUUACUUGGUGGAAUUUUUGUCUUUCUUGUUUCUUACAUAUUUAUAUAUGUUUAUAAUAUUAACCCAAUGAUAUAUUAAAAGGUAAUUUUGUUUCACAAACGAGCACAGUACAGUAGUUAUAAACUUUGAUACUUGGAGCGUUCAAACCCCAUCUAAUUUUGAAAUAUUCAUUACGUCACACUUGACGUUAUCAAGGGUGGGUGGGUUGUCAUAAAAACGUCAAUUUGACGUUUUGCGUGGCAACUUGAAUAUGGACGUCGCCCCUUAAAGCCACUCCAAAUUAGACCUUAGUCCCCCGUCCUCCGCCCGCGUCUCCUAGAACUGGCCGCAUGAUUUGUCCAUUAUUGCGAAGUUGUUUCCAUUAUUUGACUUUUGUGACAAACAAUUACGAAAAACUACAGUUUUCAAAUAAUCUGUCGUUCAAGAAAUACAUAUUUAUGAUACAACACGUAAAAAUCGAAAUGAAAUUCUUGACACUUCUAUCAAAGACCGUGAAUUUUUUCCCUACGAACUGCUGAGCUACACACUUCCGUUACAAGUUUUGAUUUUUGAACGUCAAAACCGAUAAGGUUAAUAUCCUGGCUUUCAUUUCUGCAUACAAAACUCUAACACAUUGCGUAGAAACGUGACUGAAUGGAUAUUUAAAACGAGUAUCUAUUUCAUGAAAUAAUGGGCCGUGUUUCAUCUUUCAGACACCAUAAUGGAUAAUGGAAGUGGACCGCCCGCCCGCUUGUAAUUUGAAAUAAGGGCCGGACAGGAAACUAAAGUUUAAUUUGGAGUGGCCUAAUAAAUAAGGCCACUCCAAAUUAGACUUUAGUUUCCCGUCCGUUUACGUUUCAACUGUCAACUAUCAAUAUUGGGCUAUUCCAUUUAAUAUCCGUACCCCACCCCCCCUGUCGAGGAUCCCUGGAAUUCUUCAGGGGUAAAGGGUUUUGAGCUUGGAAUUCUUCAGGGGUAAAGUGUUUUGAGCUUGGAAUUCUUCAGGGGUAAAGUGUUUUGAGUUUGGAAUUCUUCAGGGGUAAAGGGUUUUGAGCUUGGAAUUCUUUAGGGAUGAAGGGUUUUGAGCUAGGAAUUCUUCUGCCCAGGUAAAGGGUUUUGAGCUUGGAAUUUUGGAAUUCUUCAGGGGUAAAAGGUUUUGAGCUUGGAAUUCUUCAGGGGUAAAGAGUUUUGAGCUUGGAAUUUUGGAAUUCUUCAGGGCUAAACAGUUCUGAGCUUGGAAUUCUUCAGGGGUAUAACUAUGAAAAACAUGUAUCCUCGACAGGGGGAGGGGUACGGAUAUUAAAUGGAAUAGCCCAUUCCAAAUUUAGAAACACAUUCAAAUUGGGUGGGGAUUAGCUUGCAAACACUAAAUCCGUAAUUAAAUUUGUCUGAAUUAAAUUUGACAUAUGAAACAGACCUUAGUGAAGUUCUAACAUACUGUAAAUUUGCGAGUUUUGCGUUUAUGGUGGUCAAAUUCAGUAUUGUUUGCAAUGUUUGAACUAACUUUGUAGCGUUUUCGCGGGAAAAAUAAUUGUAAUCCGUCAAAUGUUUCCAGGAAAAUCAUGUAAAGUUUGAAAGUCCAAACAUGUUAUGUUUCGUGUCCAAUUAGAUCGCGUUUUCUCAUGACGUGUUUCCACUUAGUUGCAAUCGACGGUAAAUAACCCACCCUGGCCACCCACAUUUAGCAAAAAGCUAAAUCUGUUCUACUUUCAGCAGGGUUUAGGGUUAUACACACAACACAUAUUAGGGGCCAUCGACAAAUAGAUUUCAUCCACUGAAUCACUGAUCGUGGACUUGUUCUGUGAUGGUGUUCACCCCUAACCCCCCCCCCCCUCAUCGCGGACCAACAUGAGAAAAUAUCAGAAUUUUGGGCAUAUACACUCGAAGGUAUUAGAACGCUGUUUUGACAACGAAUAUAGACCCAUACUGUGAUACAUAAACAAACUAGUUUAACCCAUUAAGCUGCAGAGCUUCCCCGUCGACAAGUAAAAUCGUCUGGCAUUAGACAAGUAAAAAAUAAGUAGGGCGCAUUGCGGCUCAAUGGGUUAACUGGAGACAUUGUCAGAUUUUUUGGUCAACCCAUUAAGCUGCAGAGCUUCUCCAUGGACGAGUAAAAUUGUCUGGCGUUAGACAAGUAAAAAAAAUAAGUAGGGCGCACUGGGGUGCAUUGUGGCUCAAUGGGGUAAAACUUAAAUUAAUAAACAUAGGCGUACCGGGCGGGGGGGGGUCGGUAGCCCCCCCAGUUUGUUGGGCAGUCGGGCAAUAUUCGAUGAACAGUCGGGCAAUUUUGGUUUAUUAUAAAAAUAAAUGGGACAAAUUAAAGUCCCCAAAAUAAUUUUUCCGGAAAAAAUUUUUUCGGUAAUAGUCGGGCACAAUCCCGAAAAGUCGGGCAAAUUUCUUUCCGCCCCCCUAAUUUUUUCCUUCCGCCCCCCUAAUUUUUUCCUUCCGGUACGCCCAUGAUUAAUAAACAUUCAAAUAGUGUUUUGUGGUAUCCUAAGGGCUAUUUGUAAGUCUGAAAAGAAAUUAAAUAAAUAGCUUUAAAGAGGCUGUCAAGUCCGUUCUGCACAUGCGCGUGUUUUAUUGACAUUUUUGUUUCAAACAGUAGAUAAUUUAAUUGAAAUUCCGAUAUGUGGGCCCACAAGUUAGCUCAUUACGCAUUCAGAAUAUAUCACAGAAGGAAAAAUUGAACUACUAAAGCAAAAAUUUAGCCCCAAAACAACAAAUUUGUCAUGUCAUGUAUUUUCAUUUAUAUGUACAUUUCCUAUGUAUUUGGAAUGUCAAAAGGACGUAACAGUCCUUUUGACAUUCCAAAUACAUAGGAACUUGUAAUAGUAAAUUACACUAUUGUAACUCUGCAAAAUAGUGCAUUUUCUGACAUGUGAAGCAUGAACCUGGUAAAUCGAAUCCUUGCAAAAGAAAAGAGCAAAAAGUUAUGCUAUACAGGGUGUAUAAAAAAACUGAACAGAUUUGAAAUUGCUCUCAAUUUUGAAAAAAACCCAGCUCGUUGUGUCAAGUUUUUAUUACUAUAGAUGCCUUGUGUACCCAUAAUGUAGAAUAAUGAAAAAAAAUGCUGGAACUCAAAUUUUGUAAACCAGGGGGGUGUUUAUUUUCCACCAAAUUAAGAAUGGCUUGCGCACGACAUUUAAAAGCUUUACUCGUAUUUUGAGUUAAUGGAUGGAAAAUGUGUUGGGUUUUUAUUUACUGUACAAAAUUUCAGACAAUUUGCUUUAGUUUAAGUUCCUUUAACUAUUCAUUUUUUCCUAAAAAAAUCAGUCUUUUGCAUGCUUAAUUAAUGUCUUUACCUAAUUUGCAUAUUGCUGCAAUGUAUGCAAAUUAGGCAAAUGCCUAAUUAAGCAUGCAAAAGGCUACUUUUUUAGAAAAAAAUGCAAGUUUGCGUGAACGUUAAAGGACUUAAACUGAAGCAAAUUGUCUGAAUUUCGUGCACCAAUUAAACACCCAACACAGUUUUCACCCAUUAACUCAAAAUACGAUUAAAGCUUUUUAAGAAAUCGAAAUUUGGUUUCUGAGUGCCAUGCCGAAUGACUAUUUCAACAAUGACUGUUUUAUGCCGAAUGACUAUUUCAAAAAUGACUGUUUCACGCCGAAUGAAAUUUCAAUAAUGACUGUUUCACGCCGAAUGAAAUUAGAAUAUCAUAAUAUCGAAUAUCAUAAUAGCAUAACCGAACUUCAUAAAUGCAAUUUCCAAUGGCAUAAUUGAAUAUAUGAAUUUUGGCGGAUAUCACACCUCAUAAUCUUCUAGUAACAGAUAUCAAUUUAACGAAGAUAGUUAGACGGCUUCUUACGGUAUACUGAUUUAAAAACGUGAGGCUUGUUUGAAAAAUAAAGGUUAAAAUACCCUUUUUCGAGACCCCACUGUCCUGCAUGGGUUCCUUCCGGCGCCCCUGCAUGUGUAUACUGCCAUCCCAUUGUCAUUAAUAUGGCUAAAUAUUUAAUGGCGCAUGGCUAUCUGAUAAUUAUUAAUGGUUUUAAAUUAUUAUCAUGCAACUACAUGGUCAGUGAUUCAGAUAUCUUCACAAUCCCAAGUAAUGCGUAAUACUGUUCUUUACUAUGAAGAUAGAUGUUUUUGUUUUUCAAAUGAUCUUGUGUUUACCUUGUUUAGGACGUGGAGUUAAACCAACAGGAUUUCAUACAAAGAAAGG